rnacentral:tRNA from 1 species
GCCGUUGUAGCUCGGGUAGUAGAGCACCGUCUUGGUAAGACGGAGGUCAUGGGUGCAAGUCCCAUUAACGGCU